GUCGUCGCUUCAUCUCGAAGAAAGAGAGAGAACGUGAAAACGCCUUGAACUCCACCCCUUCUCUCCGGUCGCACGCAACCUCUCCUUUCCUCUCCAAUCUCUCUCGUUUUUCAUUCACAUCGGCAAGGGUUGCCGCCGCCGCCGCCGCGCUCACGCCCCAAAUUUUCUCUCCCCUCCCCCGAUCCCGCGGCCGCCUCUGCUGCUCCUGCGCAUGGUCGCCGCCGUCUCUGCUGCUCCCGCGCGUGGUCGUCGCGGCCUCUCCUCCCACCUCAGCGUACAACCGCCUCAGCGCCUCUUCCUCUUCAUCUCAGAAGACGGCAUCGAGUGCGGCCGUCCCGUGCUCUCUUUCCCUCCCAGGUCGACCCAGGAGGAGCUCGAGCGGCAGAGCUGGUCCACGGCGCCGUCGUUGUUGGCAGGAGCGUGAGCGCAGACACGGUCGGCUCCCUCCGGCUUUCGUGUCACCGUCCAUAUCAACCCGUGAGGAAGAGAUAUAUCGAUGGCCAAGAACUCCUGGAGCACCCGCUGGGUUCAUCUCAUGUUCUCAUGCUCUCCUUUUUCUUCCGAUCUUAUGGAAGUUGUGCUAUGAUUAUAUAUCAUCUUCUACUCUGUACAUGUUUGUUCGAAUUCAUGAGGUUGCAAGAAUUAAGAAAAUUACAACACCAAUUCUAUUGUACUAAUCAAUGCGCUUAUGCUACUAUGCAGCCAUGCAGGUAUAUUCGCAGGUUAGUUGCAUGGAUAAGGCCUUCCCAACUGGGCACGCCCAAGAACGCCUCCUGCAGGAGGGCGCCGCCGCCGUCCCGACCAGCACUCCCCCGCCGUCCUACGACGCCCGGACCGCCACGGCAUCGUCAUACGGCGACUGCUGCAGGCUGGGCCGCAGGAGCAAGGGAGAUGGUCGAUGGGGAGACGGCCCCGCCUCUGAUGCAGCUGGAGACGCUGCUGGCGCUCGGCCUGGACCAGCGCAUGGCGGAGACCGCGCUGGUCAACAGCAAAGUCACCUAGCGUCCGUCAUAGCCAAGAACCAUGGCAAAUAUGGGAGCUCCAUCAAGGCUUUGGUGAGCAAACUGUGUCCUUGCUCAGCCUCUCUCGUGUUGAUUGGGCAUCUUGGAAUUUUAUUUUGGCAACUUGGCCAAUUGGUCUUCCAACAAUCAGCAGUAGCAGGUCCAGUGCGUGAUAACAGAACAAGCGAUUGUGAUCGUUUCUAUCUCCCACUGGAGGUCACUUGAUCUGGACUCCCUCUUCCUCCACUACAGCGGCCAAAACCUGCAGUUGCUGCCGGCUGAGACUGGCCAGGACGCCGACAACGGAUUUGACUCCUACACCAAUCUCAUCAAGGUUGUUGUUGGAAAGUCAAAAAGCUACACGGGAAGACCUCCGAAAAUAAUUUCAGCCCCAAAGUAACAAAGGUGACGACGCCGUUAUCACGGCAAGCAAGCUGGCAUUCAGUUCAGCUUCUUGACGCGGUUCGGCAUGAUGGCGGCGCAGAUGAAGGCAUUCUUCGACUCCACUGGCGCCUGCGGCAGGAGCAGAGCAUCUCCGGCAAUCUCGCAGGCGUCUUCUUUGCCACGGGCACCUAGGGCUAGCACGCGAUGAUUGAGACUAUCGCCACCUGUUGUCUAGAUCGAUGCCGGUGAGGAAAAAAAAAAUACACGGAGCUACACAAACCAAAUUCAAUCCCCAUCAACAUCAGGUACAACCCUGGACUAGGGGAUCCCAUGAAGAAAUCUUAGUCAAAUAAUUUAUGAGUGACUGCUACUUUUUACUUGAUAAUUAGUUCAGAAAAAUAGGAGCUAGCAUUAGUUAAGUUAACCAUCGAUUUGCUUCAGGGUUAAUCUAUACUCUUAGCAGAUUCCCAUGUUAGGGAAAAUACUUGCUAUAAUUAAGUGACUGAUACCCCUUAGUUUGAACCACUUUUCGUGUCUCUGUGAUCAAUCUUCUACCUAUAAAACGGUUGCUUCUCUGUUUAUGCAACCUAUUAAUAUCUAUGAAACCCAUACACUUGCUCUGGUUUUUGAAUGUGCACUGGUUGCCGUGUCUUAUAUUUUUAACCAGCAACAUGGACCUGUCACUCGUCUGUACUGCUUGUCUUGUCGCUAAAAUAAGUUCAGUAACACUGCUAUGCACAUGCUAUACCAACAUCGCCAAAAAGAAAUAACAAGUAUAGUAGCCUAAUUAGUAGCGCACCUUACCCACACCAAGUGUUUAUAUAGAUCCAAAUAUUCCAACUCACACAGUCAUCUGUGUGAGUUUGUAUGGGUCAUAGAUCAGUUUGUUGAGAACAAACUCUAAACGUAUUAUCUUCAAACAAGUAAACCUUUUCCUUUGCCUUUGAGAUUCUGUCGUGGAAUUUCUGGGGUUCUAAAUGGUGUUUACUCUUCUAAAAAUGGGAUAACAUGGUAUGGAUAGGCUCGCUAGAAUUUGCAAUUGCAGUGGAGGUUCUCUUUUGUACUAUAUAAAUGCAUGAAUAUGUUCUUUCUCGAAAUCCAAUACAUCUUUUCUUGAUUUAUUAUUUGUCCAGAGUUAACCAAACACUGUUCACUUCGGAUGAAAGCUCAUUCAAUCAUGAACCUUUACAAAUGCAUGAAUAUUUUCUUUCUGGAAGCUCAGCACAUCUUUUCUUGAAUUAUUGUUGUUUGUUAAAACAUAAAGGUCACACAGUAUAGUUUACUUACUGUUUUCCUAUUCGCUUCUCUCAUAGAAUAGGGCUUGCAAGUUAGUACCUUCUUAAAGUAUGCUACUGAAUCUAUCUAUGGGAAGUCUGCAACCUAGAACUAAC